AAACUGCUAAGUGCUUUACAUGUAUUAUUUUGUUUAAUGCUUAUAACAGUAACUGACAUAGUAAAGAAUAUUAAGAAAGGAGAAGGGGAAAACAAAAGUUUAAAAAUGAGAAUUGAAAUAAAAAUUGAGUAUAACAUGAUUUUGCUAGACGAGAAUUUAAAAGUUAACUUUGGUAAAGAGGUUGGGUGUAAGAUAAAUGUGCAAAAGCCCAAAUCACCCAAAAUGUGCAAAACCAAAAAUUUCUGUAUUAACAAUACUUGACUACAAAUGAAAAUGUCUGUCGGAGGAGGUCAUUGGGUGAGCGUGACCGCCAAAUGACCCAGGAACUGACCGUGGGCGGGCCGGCAGCUGGAGGCUCCUCACCCCUCCCCGGCGCUUCGCGUUUCCACGGUUGCGGACCUGAGAGAGCUAUGUGUUAGGGGGACCACCUGGACAGUAUGUGUGAAUGAAUCCUGUUAAGGCUGUUAUGUAAUCUUUUAAAAUUUCGGUGGGCUGAUGGGGAGAUCUCGUCCUCCGGCUGCCGAAGAGAAGCUUCCUAGCCAUGGAUACUUUGCUUCGUGAAUCUUAUGAUCUAUUCAACAUGUCAUAGCUUCCUAUCUCACAUGUGCCACAGAGAGAGACAGAGCAUGAACGGGGCAGGGGCAGAGAGAGAGGGAGACACAGAAUUGG